GUUGUACUUUUACACACUGUGGUUGUGAUGUAGGCUACAAGAGGAGACUGGUAGUUGUGCUUUUACACACUAUGGUUGUGAUGUAGGAGGCUACAAGAGGAAGUCACAGUAGUGGUACUUUUUACACACUGUGGUUUUGGUGCAGAUUACAAGAGGAGAUCAUGGUAGUUGUACUUUUAUACACUAUGGUCAUGUAUAAGUAGUUACAAGAGGGGACUGUGGUAGCUGUGCUUUUACACACUAAGCUCGUGGAUGUAGGUUACAAGAGGAGAUUGUGGUAAUUGUGCUUUUACACACUAUGGUUGUGGUGUAGGAGGUUACAAGAGGGGAUUGUGGUAGCUGUGCUUUUACACACUGUGGUUGUGGUACAGGAGGUUACAGGAGGAGAUUGUGGUAAUUGUGCUUUUACACACUGUGGUUGUGGUGUAGGAGGUUACAAGAGGAGAUCAUGGUAGUUGUGCUUUUACACACUAAGCUCGUGGAUGUAGGUUACAAGAGGAGAUUGUGGUAAUUGUGCUUUUACACACUGUGGUUGUGGUGUAGGAGGUUACAAGAGGAGACUGUGGUAGUUGUGCUUUUACACACUAAGCUCGUGGAUGUAGGUUACAAGAGGUUGUGGUAAUUGUGCUUUUACACACUAUGGUUGUGGUGUAGGAGGUUACAAGAGGAGAUCAUGGUAGUUGUACUUUUACAUACUAUGGUUGUGGUGUAGGUUACAAGAGGGGAUUGCAGUUCUUUUACACACUGUGGUUGUGGUUUAGGAGGCUACAAGAGGAGGUCGCAGUAGUGGUACUUUUUACACACUGUGGUUGUGGUGUAGGAGGUUACAAGAGGACAUUUUGUUAGUUGUACUUUUACACACUGUGGUCGUAGUGUGUAAGACCACAGAAAGAUGCUGGGUAAUUCCACAUGGCUGAACAAAGAGUUGGCUCUAUUAACCAGAGACUUACUAUGAUGGAGCAACAUUAC